GGGAGGGCAGCGACAUGGCACGUCGCACCGCUCCCUGCCUCACGGCGAGAGCGCCCUUCGCGGGUUCGAUCCCCGCCCCUCCCA
rnacentral:tRNA from 1 species